rnacentral:lncRNA from 1 species
AGGAUAAGCACAACUCCAGCAACAUAAAUUCUAGCCACUUGAUGUAAAAUGAAUAAGACCAAAAGUGGUGUUGGUGCAGAAUUCCGCCGAUGCCGGAGAUGCUGGAGUCGAGGGGAUCGCAUUCGCCGUCGGGACCUGCAAGAAAAGUCUAAACCAGAGUUGGGGGGUGCUCCAGCAAGACCCUCCGAUACUCAAGUCAGUACUCUGCCUCAAC